rnacentral:rRNA from 1 species
AUUGACCGCUGGCGGCAGGCCUAACACAUGCAAGUCGAACGAGUGGCGGACGGGUGAGUAAUGUCUGGGAAACUGCCUGAUGGAGGGGGAUAACUAAUGGAAACGGUAGCUAAUACCGAAGACCAUCAGAUGUGCGAAGAUGGGAUUAGAUAGUUGGUGGGGGAACGGCUCACCAAGGCGACGAUCCCUAGCUGGUCUGAGAGGAUGACCAGCCACACUGGAACUGAGACACGGUCCAGACUCCUACGGGAGGCAGCAGUGGGGAAUAUUGCACAAUGGGCGCAAGCCUGAUGCAGCCAUGCCGCGUGUAGGAAGAAGGCCUUCGGGUUGUAAAGUACUUUCAGCGGGGAGGCGUUACCCUCCUAAGAAGCACCGGCUAACUCCGUGCCAGCAGCCGCGGUACUUC